rnacentral:lncRNA from 1 species
UUUGUUUUACUAUUAAAAAAGAGUUGAUUGGACAAUGGAUAUUAUAUUAGAAACAAGUUUAAUAUUCAUUGACCAAUAAACCAUUGUGUAUAGUUAACCGACUGUUAUAAUCCACCUACCCAUUGAAAAAAGGUGUCAAUCCUAAUUACAAUACAUGAGCAAAACACAAACAAAGUUGGCAAGCAAGGCAUUUAAACUCUUGGAUUGCAUGCUUUAAUAUUUUAACUGUAAAGAGUGCAUCAUUGUAGUUUGCUUAACACCAUUAUAUGGAUUGAAGAAUUUUAUACAAUAUAUCAUAUAUCUGAAAAAAGCUGAAAGAAAUCUUGCGAUGAAAGAUUUUCUGAUUUUGUAUGCUCCUUGGGAUAACUAAAUCAGUUCCUGUUAAUGAAUGUAGAUGACAAAAAAAUCAAUGUCAAAAUAGGUUCAAUUUACAUAAGCAUCGUCUUUUGUUGCUAUAGUAAUUUAUUAUGCUCUACAUGUAAAUGCUUUUGUUUUUUAACUCCUGUUUGCAGGUCUUACCAUCUGUAGUACAGGCUAUUUAAACCUUACUAGUCAGCAUAAGUGUGGACAAAGGAAGAGAUAAAGAUUUAUUGGCAUUUUCAGAUUUUAUUUUACUUGUAUUUUACAUAAUAUUUUAUUAUUUCAGUUUACUCUUAAAUCAAGCACACGAAAUUCCAAACAUUUCAUAUUUAUACAGUCUGUUAAAGUUGAUUUCAUUGUAUUUCUACAACAGGCUGUCUGCCUAUUGUACAAAAAUUUAUACUGAAGUUUCAUAUUCUUCAUUUUAAGAAUGUAGUACAGAUUUAAGUGUUUGUUCCAAUUUGCAAAAAUGUCAUUCUUCAAUAUUAGCUUAACAAUUCUUAUAAUUGUCCCUGGUAAUAAAAGAGUAAGUUUAUUUAUACAAUAAUUAGGCACUAACGAUCACCAACUGAUGUUUGUUAAGUUUGUAACCAUAAUUAGUCCAACUGAUGUUCGUUAAGUUUGUAACCAUAAUUAGUCCUAACUCCAAUAAAAUGCACUAAGACUUUGCCAGAUAAAAUACCAUAAACUUUUACAGGUCUUAUUCACCUGUAAAUAAAUUUGUUUGGUUUCAACUGACAAUGGUGUUUGACUCAUCAAUGACAUAAAUUUACUGUGGAUUUUUUCUUAUUCAUUGAAUACCAAUUUACAUCGGUAUAUGUAAAUCACAAAUUUAGGUGAACAACAAAAUAUAAAUUUUCUCUAGGCUUGUAUGCAGAUCCAGACUUUUGUAUAAGGCACAAAAUCAAAUAUCCAUGAAACACAAUUUUACGUCAAUUCUCCAAAAUAGUAUCCACAAAAAUAAACAAAUCCACAGUACCAUAUACAAUACAAAUUAUAGUUAUUUAAUUUUUGUCUGGAAAUAAAUGUGCAUUUUGAAAACCACCUAGCAUAAAUGUAAAUGACUCUUUUUUGUACUAGAAAUAUAAAAUGUCGGCCGCAUAAUAUAUUCACUGGUUAUUAUUAUUUAUUAGUGCUUAUCAUAUUUUUUAAAGAUGAUCUAAAGAUUAGAAAUUGAACUUGAAAUACACACAGAAUGUGUUAUGUUGUUUGUUUUUUAUUUUUAAAUUCUUAUAAAUUACCGUUUUUAUUUUAUACUACACAGCCUUAAAAGACUAAAUAGGAGGUGUGGGGUUGUGGAUGAACAUGUUAUGUUAGAAAAAGAAAAGACAAUGAGAUGGGAUACAAUAGGGGAACAAACAUCAUAGGCCAAGUCAAAUAUAUAUAUAGAGUUUAUUAAGGUUAGAAAAGUUAGAGUCAGUCCCAUAACCAGCCUUAUCUCAACGAUGCAAUCACAAACCAAUUCAAUUUUUAUACGGCCGCAACAUUUUUUGGCGUUAUGGCUCAAUAUGUUUUGGAAUUAGGGGGGAAAAAUGGGAAAAACUAGGUUUUUCUGGUCAAUGGACAAUUAAGACAAUUUAAAAGCAGUGUAAGGGUGGU